GACGUAGGGCGCGAGCGUUGUCCGGAAUUACUGGGCGUAAAGGGCGCGCAGGCGGCUGCUCAAGUCAGGCGUGAAAGGCCUGGGCUCAACCCGGGAAUUGCGCUUGAGACUGGGCUGGCUUGAGUCCGGAAGAGGAGAGUGGAAUUCCUGGUGUAGCGGUGAAAUGCGCAGAUAUCAGGAAGAACACCUAUGGCGAAGGGCAGCUCUCUGGGACGGUACUGACGCUGAGACGCGAAAGCGUGGGGAGCGAACAGG
rnacentral:rRNA from 1 species